rnacentral:lncRNA from 1 species
UGAGGGCUGGCCUGUCUGAGGAGGGGCAUUUGCAGUGCUGGAGCAAGCCAUGGAGGACAGGAAUUGCUCCAGUCAGAGGAACAGCAAGGACAAGGGGCCCAAGACGGCAUGUACUAGAGGCUCCACGCAUAGAAAAAGCCAGCCAUCCCCAGCGCUGUAACUGAGUGGCCAGUGGUGGGAGGUGAGGUCACAGACGCGGAGGGGGCAUACAUGGGAAUUGGGACAUUGGCUUUUUCCUGCCUCUACACUACAACUACACCAUCAAGCCUUCAGACAUGGAAAGGAACCACACUAUUGGCUCUCCUCGGUCUUCAGCUUGCCAACUCAAUGCAGAUCUUUGCAUUUGUCAGCCUUAUAACCAUGUGAGCUAAUUCCCUAAAAUAAAUGUCCUCAUUUAAAUGU